UGUCCAGCCCUAUGAAACCAGCCCGGUUUUCAAGUCAGACCCAAUCUGACUGUGGUGGUUUCUGGACCCAGUCUGCAAAAGCAGUUCUCAAAGUUUGAAAGCUCAUAAUGCAAAAGCUACAGAACUGGGAUCCAGAAUCCGUCAGACACUCCCCCACCUGCUCCAGCCACCUUGAGAAAGCGGCGUGCUCAAGCGGCUGCUCAGUGUUCUGCUGUUAGAAUACACAGACGUGAGAAUGAGUCAAAGAGCCAGAAGCCAACCAGAAAAAUGAGAGCCCUGAGUGUCCAGACUUCUGUGCCAACACUUCCAGAAGGGCCUUGGUACUACUUGAAGGACUUCUCCAAGGACAGAAGAUUCUUUCUAUCUCAUAAAAAGCUGGAUGCCCCCGAAGGAUC